rnacentral:snRNA from 1 species
GGAUGUGAGGGCGAUCUGGCUGCGACAUCUGUCACCCCAUUGAUCGCCAGGGUCGAUUCGGCUGAUCUGGCUGGCUAGGCGGGUGUCCCCUUCCUCCCUCACCGCUCCAUGUGCGUCCCUCCCGAAGCUGCGCGCUCGGUCGAAGAGGAUGACCUUCCCCGAAUAGAGGAGGACCAGUCUUCGGUCAAGGGUAUACGAGUAGCUGCGCUCCCCUACUAGAACCUCCAAACAAGCUCUAAAAUACAAGACAAACACUUUUUUUUUCUUCAAAUCAAAAAGUUCAAGUUAAGAACAUGUAAUAUCCACAAAAGGUUUUUCAAAUAUGAAGAUUUUU